UUAGAGUUUGAUCCUGGCUCAGGACGAACGCUGGCGGCACGCCUAACACAUGCAAGUCGAACGGAGAAAAUGAUUUCGGUUAUUUUCUUAGUGGCGGACGGGUGAGUAACACGUGAGGAACCUGCCUUUGAGAGUGGGAUAGCUUCUGGAAACGGAUGGUAAUACCGCAUAACAUAGUGAAACCGCAUGAUUUUGCUAUCAAAGUAUUUCGCUCAGAGAUGGCCUCGCGUCUGAUUAGAUAGUUGGUGAGGUAACGGCUCACCAAGUCGACGAUCAGUAGCCGGACUGAGAGGUUGAACGGCCACAUUGGGACUGAGACACGGCCCAGACUCCUACGGGAGGCAGCAGUGGGGGAUAUUGCACAAUGGGGGAAACCCUGACGCAGCGACGCCGCGUGGAGGAAGAAGGUCUUCGGAUUGUAAACUCCUGUUGUUGAGGAAGAUAAUGACGGUACUCAACAAGGAAGUGACGGCUAACUACGUGCCAGCAGCCGCGGUAAAACGUAGGUCACAAGCGUUGUCCGGAAUUACUGGGUGUAAAGGGAGCGCAGGCGGGAAGACAAGUUGGAAGUGAAAUCCAUGGGCUCAACCCAUGAACUGCUUUCAAAACUGUUUUUCUUGAGUAGUGCAGAGGUAAGCGGAAUUCCCGGUGUAGCGGUGGAAUGCGUAGAUAUCGGGAGGAAACACCAGUGGCGAAGGCGGCCUACUGGGCACCAACUGACGCUGAGGCUCGAAAGUGUGGGUAGCAAACAGGAUUAGAUACCCUGGUAGUCCACACCGUAAACGAUGAUUACUAGGUGUUGGAGGAUUGACCCCUUCAGUGCCGCAGUUAACACAAUAAGUAAUCCACCUGGGGAGUACGACCGCAAGGUUGAAACUCAAAGGAAUUGACGGGGGCCCGCACAAGCAGUGGAGUAUGUGGUUUAAUUCGACGCAACGCGAAGAACCUUACCAAGUCUAGACAUCCCUUGACGAUGCUGGAAACAGUAUUUCUCUUCGGAGCAAGGAGACAGGUGGUGCAUGGUUGUCGUCAGCUCGUGUCGUGAGAUGUUGGGUUAAGUCCCGCAACGAGCGCAACCCUUAUGGUCAGUUACUACGCAAGAGGACUCUGGCCAGACUGCCGUUGACAAAACGGAGGAAGGUGGGGAUGACGUCAAAUCAUCAUGCCCCUUACGACCUGGGCUACACACGUGCUACAAUGGGUACAACAAAGAGACGCGAGGCCGCAAGGUGGAGCCAAACUCAGAAAAGUACUCUCAGUUCAGAUUGUGGGCUGCAACCCGCCCACAUGAAGUUGGAGUUGCUAGUAAUCGCGGAUCAGCAUGCCGCGGUGAAUACGUUCCCGGGCCUUGCACACACCGCCCGUCA
rnacentral:rRNA from 1 species